GACGAACGCUGGCGGCGUGCCUAAUACAUGCAAGUUGAGCGCUGAAGGUUGGUACUUGUACCAACUGGAUGAGCAGCGAACGGGUGAGUAACGCGUGGGGAAUCUGCCUUUGAGCGGGGGACAACAUUUGGAAACGAAUGCUAAUACCGCAUAAAAACUUUAAACACAAGUUUUAAGUUUGAAAGAUGCAAUUGCAUCACUCAAAGAUGAUCCCGCGUUGUAUUAGCUAGUUGGUGAGGUAAAGGCUCACCAAGGCGAUGAUACAUAGCCGACCUGAGAGGGUGAUCGGCCACAUUGGGACUGAGACACGGCCCAAACUCCUACGGGAGGCAGCAGUAGGGGAUCUUCGGCAAUGGACGGAAGUCUGACCGAGCAACGCCGCGUGAGUGAAGAAGGUUUUCGGAUCGUAAAACUCUGUUGGUAGAGAAGAACGUUGGUGAGAGUGGAAAGCUCAUCAAGUGACGGUAACUACCCAGAAAGGGACGGCUAACUACGUG
rnacentral:rRNA from 1 species